UCACUUGCCGGGAACGAAGUUGGUGGCGAAAGCCCAGGCGUUGUUGUUGACGGGGUCGGCGAGGUGGUCGGCGAGGUUCUCGAGGGGGCCCUUGCCGGUGACGAUGGCCUGGACGAAGAAGCCGAACAUGGAGAACAUGGCGAGGCGGCCGUUCUUGAUCUCCUUCACCUUGAGCUCGGCGAAGGCCUCGGGGUCCUCGGCGAGGCCCAGGGGGUCGAAGCUGCCGCCGGGGUAGAGCGGGUCGACUAUCUCGCCGAGCGGGCCGCCGGCGACGCGGUAGCCCUCGACGGCGCCCAUGAGCACCACCUGGCAGGCCCAGAUGGCGAGGAUGCUCUGGGCGUGGACGAGGCUGGGGUUGCCGAGGUAGUCGAGGCCGCCCUCGCUGAAGAUCUGGGAGCCGGCCUUGAACCACACGGCCUCGCCGAACUUGACGCCGUUGCGGGCGAGCAGCUCGGGGAAGACGCAGCCGAGCGCGCCGAGCAUGGCCCAGCGGCAGUGGAUGACCUCCAGCUCACGGUUCUUGGCGAAGGUCUCGGGGUCAGCGGACAGCCCCGCGGUGUCCCAGCCGUAGUCGCCGGGGAACUCGCCGGUGAGGUAGCUCGGGGGGUCGCCGGAGAGCGGGCCGAGGUAGAGCACGCGGUCGGAGCCGUACCACGGGCUGCUGGACGCCGCCACCUUGGGCUUGCCCGCCGUCUUGCGCAUGGUGAUGCGGCCCUCGCCGAAGGGCGCCGCCCUGGAGGCCUUCACCGGGGUGCCGGCCAUCGCCGGGGAGGAGAGCGCCAUGGUCGCCGCGGCCGCCAUCGCUCGCUGCGUGCUAGCUAGCUAGCCUUGCUUCGAGUGAGCUGAGGCUGGCAGUGACAGUAGGAGGCGCUGGUGGUCGUUGGUGGUGAGGAGUGAAGCGGGAGCGCGCCGGGUUUAAAUAGGAGGAGGGAGCGAUCGGGUCCUUAUCCCGGGGAAUCUUAUGCCGAGUCGCCAUUGGCGCGCGGGGCGCGAGGCGGGCGGAUGGGGCGGCUGAGGUGGCCGCGCGGUGGCCACGGGAGCGGCGGAGGUCGGGAUUUUUUGCGGGGUUGUGGUGGAUUUGGCGCGGUGGAGAUGAGCCGCGAGGGCGACGGUGGGUCGCGGCCGCAGCCCACAUGGCCGCGUGUGGGGCGGCUCGCCGAUGUGGCCGCGCGCUGGCCAGGGGAUCUCCUGCUCACCGCGCCGGGCGGAAGGGGACGGAGGGCGAUGAGUUUGGCCGUUGCGCGCGGUGCAUUCUGAGGCGUGCCGCUGGCCGGAGGACCCCGGGAAAGAGAUAUCUGCCGUUGGCAGGUUGUGCCGGCGACCUACGUGGCCGACAUCUACUGGUUUCACGACUUCACGAGGUGCCCAAUCGGAACGGGUUCAGGACUAGCUCGGAACUGCCGUUUUAUUUUUCGAUUUGCACAUGCAUCAUGUAAAGAUCCUCUGCAAUGGUUGAAGUUUAAAAACUUUUAUCUUUAAAACCGUUAAUUCAAUCGAUGAUCUCUUUUCAUCGUUGACUUUGUCACGACAAGAUCUUCGAAACUAGAUCUCAUGUUGACAUGUUUCGACAAACUUUUUUUUUCUUCCAUAAUUGCUACAUUUUUCCACUCACUUGCUAUAUUAUUAACCACUUACUUGCUCAAUAAAAAUAACUUAAUUGCCAUAUUUUUUUAUGUCGUUUCGUGCAAAGAUUAUCGAUGCUUAUAAAUGCAGUCCCCAAAAUGUUUUGAUGUGUUUGUCAUUUUUAUUCUACUAAGUUGUCAUGUGGUCUCAUAAAAGCUUGUAGGUGCUUAUAAAAUCACAGUUUCUACAUAUAUUUUUUGUGCUUGUCAUUUUAAUCCUACCUCGUUAUCAUAUUGUCCCAAACAACUUGUGAGUCAUUGUAAAAAAAAUAGUUGUUACGGUGUUUGCUGUAUUUAUCUUUUGAAUUCUAUGCUCAAUUGUUAUGUUUUGUGGUAAUAAAAGGACAUUUGAUUGUUUUAAAACGUAGUUGUGCUAGUGUUGUGUUGUGUCGGUCAGUUAAAUUCUAUUAAAAUGAUAUGCUUUUAUAUCAUGUAUAAUAAAAUAUGUUACAAGGCUUUUGUACGAAAUAAUAUUAAAAAGUGACAAUCAAGUUAUUUUUUUAGGCAAGUAAGUGGUUACUAAUAUGGCAAGUGGGUCAAAAAAUAUGGCAAGUAUGAACAGAAAAAAAAAGUUGACGAAACAUAUCGAUAUGGGAUCUAGUUUUGAAGAACUCGUCGCGAGAAAGCCAAUGAUGAAAACGGAUCAUCGAUUGAAUUAACGGUUUUGGAGAUAAAACUUUUUGAAUUUCAAACAUAAAAAAGAAUCGCGGGUUGUCCUCCCGCCGCACGGCAAAGCAGCGCUGCGCAUGCUAUCAAUUAGAUUUUUCCUUUAUUUUUUAUUUCUUACCGGCAAAACGAUCCGUAUGUUGAAACGGAAAAAAAAUCAUAAUCUUUAAUGAACAUGAACAUAUUUUCCUGCAUCAUCAAGAUAAAAAAAUAUCACUCUCAUUUUCAUGAAAUCGUGGAUAGUUUUUAAAAAUACAGAACAUAUUAAACUCAUGAACAUAUUUGCAAUCGGGAAUAUGUUUCAAAUUCACAGACGUUUUUACAGAUUUUUGAACAUUUUCAAAGAUCAUGAACAUGUUAUACUAUUUUCACACAUUUUUUAAAAUAUAGGAAAAAUAUUAAACAUUUUUCCUGAAUUGGCGAACAUUUUUCUAGAACCGAAGAUCACUUUUUUGGAAAUUUGUCGGCCAAUUUCUGAAAUUCACCAACAUUUUUUUGAUUUUAAAAUUAUUUUUUGAGUUCCAUGAUCAUUUUUUGAAUCAGCGAACAUUUUAUGAAUCAUAAACUAUUGUGUAAUUCACGAUCAGUUUUUGAAUUUUCUCGAUAUUUUUCAAUUUAAGAACAUUUUUUGAAUUGUAUUUUUUUCAAUUGAUUAUUUUGUUAACAUAUGAACGUUGAUAACAAAUCAUGAUUUUUUUUUGGAUUUUCCGAACCUUUGCUACCAAAAUUAUGAAAUUUUUAUGAAUAGGUGUUAUUUAAAAUUGCAAAUAUAUUUUUUAAUCCACAGACGUUUAGAAUUAUUAAACAUUCUAUUACUAAAAAUGUAUUUAAAAAAUUCGGAAUUUGUUUGAAGUCCUGAAUUAUUUAAACUAGAAAGAACAAAGACGGAAAAGGAAAACAAAAUUUAGAAAAUAGGACACCCAGAUAUGGAUCAGCCCAAACAAGUGCGACGUGUUUUCUUCCAGCACACAGAGCACAGUGUAAGAGGUUCCUACUUGAUGGGCCAGCCCAAACGGGGAUUCCCUUUGUGAAAUGUUUGUUAUCACUUGUGGCAACGCUAGGUAAUAUUUUACAACUUUAAAGGUAAUUUAUGUGAUGCACCUUAAGAAGCACUAAUGCCUUUAUUAAUAUAGGUAUAUAUAUAUGCAACAGACUGUUUACACGUGCAAUCAAGUUUUGCAAGUCUUGGGCCUAUAUAUAUAUAUAUAUAUAUAUAUAGGCCCAAGACUUGCAAAACUUGAUUGCACGUGUAAACAGUCUGUUGCAGUUACUUUGGUUGUAGCCUAGAGAUGUGAAAUGUUAUUUCAACCAACCAGAAGAGAGUGCUUGAUACUUGUGAUCUGCAUUGAGUUUUUUAUAAAGAGGAAUGGAUGAUGCAUCACAGUAUAAAUGGUAAAUUGUAAUGCGUGCUCAAGUUCCGCAACACACCCAAUACAAUGACAAAUUGCAUAGGCGAACUAGUUCGGCGAAGAGAUGUGAUACAAGUGUAGUAUGGAUAGUAUAAAUAUAUUUUUAUAAUCCGAAUAAGUAAAAAGAGCGAGGCAACAAGUAGUAAACAACGAGAAAAACGGUAUAUUAAUGUUGGAAUUAUGCCCUAGAGGCAAUAAUAAAUAUAGUUAUUAUUAUAAUUCCUGUAUCAAGAUAAUAGUUUAUUAUCCAUGCUAUAAUUGUAUUGAAUGAAGACUCAUUUACAUGUGUGGAUACAUAGACAAAACACCGUCCCUAGCAUGCCUCUAGUUGGCUAGCCAGUUGAUCGAUGAUAGUCAGUGUCUUCUGAUUAUGAACAAGGUGUUGUUGCUUGAUAACUGGAUCACGUCAUUGGGAGAAUCACGUGAUGGACUAGACCCAAACUAAUAGACGUAGCAUGUUGAUCGUGUCAUUUUGUUGCUACUGUUUUCUGCGUGUCAAGUAUUCAUUCCUAUGACCGUGAGAUCAUAUAACUCACUGACACCGGAGGAAUGCUUUGUGUGUACCAAACGUCGCAACGUAACUGGGUGACUAUAAAGAUGCUCUACAGGUANNNNNNNNNNNNNNNNNNNNNNNNNNNNNNNNNNNNNNNNNNNNNNNNNNNNNNNNNNNNNNNNNNNNNNNNNNNNNNNNNNNNNNNNNNNNNNNNNNNNUCCUCGCCUCUAGCUCGCGCACCCCUCGCCGGAGUCGGCACCAGAGAGCUUCACCCAGGAGCUCCUCCAUCGCCCCCCCCUGCACGCUUUCCCCCUGCCGAGCCCACCUCACCCCGCCACCACCUCCCCACCACUCGGCCCCCUCCUCCACCACCCCUCCACCCCGCUGCUGCUCCUCCCCAUCACCACUACCAGGCAGCCAGGAGCUUCCCCGUCGGCUCCCCCACAUGCAGGCUCCCUCCUCCCCCUUCGGCCCUCCCCCCAGGAGUCUCCACCGGCCCCUUCCCCACCCCUCGCCGGCCCCUACCCCACCCCACCGGAGCUCACCCCGUGCACCCCCUUCCCACCUCGGCCACAAUAGCCAGCCACGGGAGCAGCUCCAGCCACGGUAAGGCUCCACUCCCCCUCCUGUUUCUUUUUUGUUUUUAUGUAGUAGCCCUUAGAUCCAUAAUCUACGGUGUAGAUUAGGAAGUACUUACCCCUUCGGUUUUCUAAAAAGAACCGGUCCAUCAGUUAAGUGAACCGAAGCAUUUUCUUAUUUAGCGGCCAUCCGCUGUUUAGUCUAUGCAGCAAACACCCCUUAGCCAAUCAGGGACUGCCACGUAGUUAGUUAGCUUUUAUUCUGUUUUUUUUUCAGAUUUAGUUCAAAAACAGAAAGUUCCAAUCUUGUUUAGCCCAUAACUUUUGAUCCCGAAGUCCAAUGAUAGUGAUUCUUUUUCCAGUAGCUCACAAAGUUCCUGUAGUUUCUAAAAACAUAUAAUUUGUAUAUGUUUGAAAUUUUCGAAUAUAAGUUAGAUCAGAUUUAGUUUAAACAUUGUUUUGCCUAUUCCAGGAGUUUAAAAAUAUCUUUUAAUCUGAUUCCUUUUGGUACUGAUCACUAGUGAUCCUAUUUAUAAGUGGUAAAAAUUUCCAAUUUGUUUGAGUAUAUUAGCUCACUGUUUCUUGUGAAACAAUUUCUGUUUCAUCUCUUUUAGGAUUUCGGCUAAUUCCUUUUCUACUUUUGUUUUAAAAUAUUUUCUUUAUUAUUUCAGAAACAUUAUUGUUUUGUUUAUGUUAGUUAACAGUAGUUUUGGAACAAGUUUUUAUUUUAUUUUUAUUUGUUUUCAUGAAAUCAAUUCUAGUUCCUUAUUAACUUGCAAUUGGUUUCCGCACUGUUUCAAAUCCCGUUUGGGAAUACUUUCAAAAAGUUUUGUGAAAAAUACUUUAUUUUAUCUUAGUUAAACUUAUAUCUUAGUUCCUUGUUAUUAUUUUCUGUUAGACAAAAACUAGUUAGUGUUUGAUGUAGAAGAAGACUCCUAGUUUAGUAAAGUUUCUUUCGGAUUCUUAUUCGCUCUCUCUUUUGUUUUGAUUGCUAGAAUGAUUGCUAGUAUGAGUGCUUAUGUGAAUGAUAUGUUUGUUAUAUAGAUUCCCUCGGAGAGUGACGAGUAGUCUAUCAAGUUAUUUUCUCGAGAAAUUCUUCUUCGUCAACAUCACCAGGCAAGUCACUUUGAUCAUACUAUCACCUAUGUUUUAUGCAUCGUAGUUCUACCAUCCUAUGCCCAAAUUGCAUGCUGCUUAAGUACUUGGAAAUUUUAGUAUAGGUUGUAGUAUCAUGUGGUAGGCACCCAACAACCCCGAUACUUGGCCCCGGGACGACAAAUUUCAUAUUGCUAUGCUUGAGGAGACGGGAUUUCGGUUGAGUGCAUAACACAAGUGAUGCGAGGUUGAUUAAAUAAUCAAGACCGGUUAAGACAAGAUUUUCAAGAUCUUGGACACAAUGCAACUCUGGGUGAAGGACGGUUGAUCGGCUCCCUGGAGAACCCAGUGGAUGACCCGGGAUGCUGGAGAGGCCAUGACAUCCUGCGGAAAGCUUCACCCAGGCUCAAAGAGACGGACGGAUAUUUUCAAGACCCAAGGCUUACCUGCACAGCCACAAGUCAUUAUGGGCUCUGGCUUGGUUGGACAACGCGGCGACUCUGGACAGGCGGUGCUAGCAGAUGUAGAAGAAUGGUAUGAAUGGAUGGGCACCGACAGGGAUUCAGAGGGACCCGUUGAAAGACCAUGUUUUGAUCAUCCGGUCUUCAAACACCCUGAAGUGYGAGGACAUACACGGAGGCGAUCAAAUCUUGUGGGGAACGUGUGCAAAACUCUACAGAGUACUCAAACCUAAUCGAUUAGCCGUGUCCACGGUCAUGGACAACUUGAGCCAAAGGAACUGAAGUUAUCUGGAUUUCUCAACACCAUUAUAUAUAUUUGAUGAGGGUAAUUAUUGACAACUCGGGUACGAGAACUGGUUGGCGGAACCAUCUCGUUAACAACCAACCUUGUAGUAAUAUUUUUCUUUUAGCCCUCUUGAUGUUGGAGAAAACUUGCUUUUCGCUAAAAAACUUAUAGCCCCAGCUGCCAUAAAUGCAUAUAGUAUAGAUGAUUACUUUUCACCCCUCUCUUAUGKGACUUGCCAGCAUAUUCAAUAUGCUGACCUACACGGCURCAACAUCUUAUGUUGCAGAUAUUUUUCUUCGAUGAGUAAGAGUACGAUUCAGGGUUACGGUCAACCCUCAACUUGCCGUUGGUGUUUAUUGGGACUCCACUCCCUUGACUGCUUCCGCUGAGAUAUUUAAGGUAUACAUCAGUUUUACGCUAUUUACAUGUGAUUGCACUUUGAUAUAUACAUUGAUGUACUCUGUGUGCCAGCAUACUGAUCCACGGAUGGCACAGAAACACAGAGGCUUGACUCGUCUUGAGUCGGGUCGCUACUGAAAUGGUAUCAGAGCACAUAUUGACUGUAGGACGUGACCCUAGAAACUAGAAAUUUCUUAGGAAAGGAUCUCUCAAAAAUUUUAUUUUCAACAACACCUUUUACUUCUCAUCUCUUCUGAUUUCAUCGAAUGUUCCCUCUCACCUCAAAUAGUUAGACAAUACCCUUACCCCUUUGACCUCAUGAAUAAUCAACGGAGUUCUACUUCAAAUUAAAGAGGAUUUCCUCAUGCAAUUGAAGCUACACCAAUUGAAGACUCUCAAGACCCGAAGAACUUGAAGACCCCGAAACGUUCGAAUAUUUAUAUGACCAUUAGAAGUCCAAACCCCUGUUAUAUACCCACGUUAGAUACGAUGAUUUGUGAGCCGUCAUUGGUGUGUGUUUUUCGAUAGCCACAAAUAAAACCCAUUCUCAAAAAUAUUGUUUGUAUUGUGUGUAUCUCCCUCCCUCUCUUACCCGUCUCAUCCCCAAAACCUCAACCCUACCAGAUGGAGUAUGAAGCUGGACUUGUAGUCUCUGGACCAAUGACCCAGCUAGAGGCUGAAAUAUGGACUCAGAACAUGGAGAACCACUUCGGGAGCAACUUGAUCUCAAGGAAGUAUGAAGUGGAACACGCUCUCUAGUACUUUACCCAAAGUGCUGCAAUCUGGUGGAAAAUGCACCAUGCCAUACAAGGAUUUAGUGGAGCAGAAACCUGGGACGAAUUCAAGAACACCCUGUUAAGAUCCCGUCUCAUUCGGAAGUGCUAUGAUAAUCCGAAGGAGAAGACUUGUGCAUGCAAGAUCUAUGGAGAAAUAGGACACACCCAGGAAGAACACAAGGAUCGAUGCACUCAUUGUGAAGAAAAUCACCCAGCUGAGGAGUGCCCAAGUAGUCAGGUGACUUGUUUCCUUUGUGAAGGAACCACCCACUACCCAGCUCAGUGUCACAUUUACCCCAAGGUGCAACAGGUUGUCAAGCAGCAGAAAGAUGCAGUGAAGGAACCCCUCAAGAAGAAGAUUCUAGAAGAACCGAUGAUGAACGAAAAUAUUGAAGACCCUGAUGGACAAGGUCUGACCAGAUUUUUCUCCAAUGCAUGUUACUCAUGUGGAGAAGAAGGACAUUAUUCACAGGAUUGCACGAAGGAAAGCCAAGAGUAGCUGGGAAACUUCCCGACGGAAGAAGUGGAGUUUGAUCCACUUGAAAUAGAAGAACUGGCCAAAAUAAAGGAGUCCAGAAAGAAGAAAAAGUACCCUCGGAAGAACCAAAUCUCUGCAGACAUAGACCUGAGUCAUGUCAGAUGUUACAAGUGUAUGAAAUUUGGCCACCACAAAUACAUGUGCUCAGGAAGGAAGCCGGAAAUCCAAGGAGCAAAAGAAAAAGCUAAGAGGCCUCGAGACUUGUCAGAACUCAUUUGCUUUCGUUGCAAGGAAGCAGGACAUUUUGCUAGCGAUUGUCCACAAAGGAAGAAAGCUAAGAAGGAGUAGUUAAGUUUUGACCGCGGCACUUAGUGUAAUAUGAAUAACUCUUGUUUUUCAUGAGAUCAUGGAGUGAAAUUUUGUAAAGAAGUCCCUGAGAUUGUAAUAACAUCAUGAAUAAAUGGAAUUUAUUGUCUCAUGAUUGCCUAUGUUGAAACUGUAUGCGUUGUUUCUCUGCGAACAAAGAUCUCUGAACAUUUAUGAGGAUAUGAGAAAAUAUGGUCUAUGCAUGCAUGAGUAUUAUUCAUUUUAAGUGUGGUAGUAAUCGGUAAACCCACAGGAUCCACUGAGUAGGAAUGUACCAUGAUUACCAAGGAGACACAUACAUUCCUCUGAGUACCUAUUUACUGACACCUACAGAUGACACCUCUCUACGAGUCAUUCCUCAAGGGCCCAGAAACGAUCAUGACCCUGACCAGUGACCAUGAUUACCCGAAAAUCCUGAAGGACAUGAUGAAGCACAUUCACCUUGAAGGAGAUGCAGUCUACAAAGGCUACCCAUUUAUGGAAAAUUGAGUGGAACUUUGGUACGUGGAAGUACACCUCCACCAUGUGAAAGGAGUUUGUCCAAAGACUAUGGGGAAAUACUUUUUCAUUUCACGUGUACCGCGAGCAACCUUCUUUGAUGCUGUUCGUGAAGCUGCCAUGGAAGCCAUACGUCAGAUUGGAGAAAUACUUGAAGCAAGACUCCGUCAUACCCAGGAAUACCUGAGUGAGGUACGUGCGUAGAUGAUGGAGAUGAAGCUCAUGACCACCAUGAUGAAGCGAAAGAUGGAUGAUUUCAAGGAGUACCUCGGAAAGUUCGAGUGGAAGUACCUCCAAGAGAGACAGAUGAAUAAAGUUGGCAGAAAUGCUUGACCAUACCGAACAAUGUGGAUGGCAGCAUUUGUAAUAAAUUACUUUUGAGUUAGAAUUUUGAAGAAAGCAAGGAUGUAAUAAAGGAUAGAUUAUGUAAUGAAUAUGAUUUAUGGAAGAAGCUAUGAUGGAUCAGCAAACGUUUUCUUAGGAGCAUACGAAAGCCAGAGAGUUGUGGAGAUACGAUAGAUGUUUCGUUCAGCUUGCAGAACCAAUGGUUUAUCCGAACUUCGUUCGUGGACAAGAGAAACUCUGCAACGCUUGUGAGGAUGCCCAAGUGUUAGAAUGCGAGAUUCGCUAAACCUUAUACAGAGAAAUGAUUUGGGUGCGGAAUGGAUCGAUCACCAUGACGACUUACUCUUAUCAUUUAUCUUGCUAUUCAGAAUGGUAAAUCUGAGAGACUUACCCAUAUAGAGAGAUGACGUUCUUUGAAGCUUUUGUUUAAGACUUAGAGUGGUAUAAGAAAAGCCCAUGCACAUGGCACUUGUUGACACGCGUAGGAAAUUUUACGAUGAGAAUGAAACCAAGACCCCACUCUCUGCAAGAUAACCACAAAUGGUAUACCACCAUGAGAACCAUCGAUAUGUUAUUUAGAAUUGACCGCGAGACUGUCAGUUAAGAAGACCCAGUAAAGGAAGAAGCUUAUAUCAACGGAAGAACUCUCGAUUUUGAUGGAAAACGUUAUGAAUGUAACGAAAGAGCUUCACCAGAGGAGUUAGUAUGAAGACUGUGAGGAGUCAGAUGCCAAAACCCCACCGGAUUGUCAAAAAUCUUAUGGGACAAGUAAUCUUCAUUUUAAGUGUAGUAGCAUCCCACUUUGCUGGAAGUUGGAUUUGUUAGAAGACCCCCAAACCCUAACGUUUCUUUCUAGCCUCUUCGAAUCUCGAGGACGAGAUUCAUUUUAAGUGUGGUAGGUUUGUAACAUCCCAAAUUUUGGAAUGUUAAAAUAAUUAUUAGAUUGUUUGUUUGUUUGCUUGAGUGAUUGAAACUUGUGUGAAAUUUGAAACUUUUCAAAAACUUUUGAAUGAUAGGGAAUAAAAUGACUUUCCCCAUCUCUGAUGAAUUCAAAUUCAAUCUUUUAAAAGAAAAGAGAGAAGAUGACAUGACUUCUUCAACUAUAAAGAAUUUGAACGGAGUUUGCAUUUGAAUCCUUUCAAAUUAUUUGCCCUUGCUUCUAUAUUUUUCUUCCCCGAGAAAAUGCCCCGACAAAAUUCUUGCACGCAUGAAAGAGCGGAGGAAAAUGACCCUCCAAAAACCAGGGCCAUUGAUUGAAAUAUUUUGAGCCAAGAAAAAACCAAAAUUUAAUUUGAGAAAAUAAUUGCAAAAAUAAAUAAUGCUUUUAGGGAUUUUUUGGAAAAACAUUUUUUUAAGUUUUCAUUUUGGCCGUUGAAAAAUGCCCAUCAUUUAGAUUUUAUUUUUCUGAUAAUUUUAGUAUAUAGAAACCUUAUAUUCCGAAUUGAUUUGAUUUGCCUUUUAUCGUUUUAGUUUCCUAGUUUUGAAAAAGGAAAGAAAUCGUGUUUAAAUGGAAAUAAACGGUCGCCCAUUAAAACCUUUCCAAAAACUGGCCCAACAGGAUCUUCUUCUUCCUCUAUCUCCUUCCUCACGUGCAUAGGACCUUCCUUAGCCAUGGACAGAGAAAUCCUCACUUCCGGAAUUCGCGAAGUUCUUUCCCUCCUAGCCUCUCCCGUCGCCCCUAUAAGAAGGCCCCGGUCCUCCUCGUUCCAUUCCCGUUGGAAUCGCCGCCUCUCCCCACCUCCUCCCCCCCCCCUGUGGACCUCGGCGGAGUCGGCCACAGGAACUCGCCGGCGACCUUCCCCAUCGCCCCUGCACCCCCUCCCCACCCCACCGACUUUCCCCAUCGCCCCUGCACCUCCUCCACCACCCCACCCCGUCGCCCCCCUGCAUCCCUCCCCAUCCCCACCGAGCUCCCUGCCAGGAGUUCCCCGCCAAGACGCUAGGAGCACCGGAGCAGCCCCUGACGCCCCUCGCCCCUGCUCGACCAGGAGCUCCCAGGAGCCUCGCUGCCACUCCCUACGUCGCCCGCACCCCCCGCCGGCGACCCCACCCCGCCGGAGUUGCCCCCCCCCUCGCUGGAGUGCCUCCUCCUCGCCACUGCUUCUCUGGAGCACGAGGUAACUACCUCUCCUUUACYUUUUUUCUUUUUCUUUUUUUUCKUUUUAMUUAUACCAUUAGAUCUAGAAUCAACGCGGCAGAUUAGAAGCCCAGAUACCCUUUCGGUUUAGUUAAGAAAACCACUCAGAUUUCUAUUACAUUACUUUAGCCAAAGAGGUUUUAUUAGAUUUCGGCCGUCUGCUUAUAUGUCUCGCAGCAAACACCCCCUUAGCCAAUCAGAGAGCACCACGUGGACCCCCUGUUCACUAGUUGGAUUUUUUCUAUUUUCAGUUUAAUUCAAAAACAGAGGCAGAUUCAAUUUUCUUUUGAUCAUAACUUUUGAUCCACAACUCCAAUGGAGCUGAUUAUUUUUCCAGUAGAUCACAAUUUAUCUGUAGUUUUUAAAAACAUAUAAUUUGUCUAUGUUUGAAAUUUUCAAAUUUGAAUUAGAUCAGAUUUAGUUUAAACCUUGUUUUGCUUAUUCCAGGAGUUUAAAAAUAGCUUUUAAUUUGAUUCCUCUUGCUACUGAGCACUAGUGAUCUUAUUUAUCAGUGGUAAAAAUUUCAGAUUUAUUUGAGUAUUUUAGCUCAUUGUUUCUUGUGAAACAAUUUCUGUUUCACCUCUUUUAGGAUUAUGGUUAUUUCUUUUUUGUAAAUUGUUUUUAAAUUAUUUUCUUUCAUAUUUCAGAAACAUUAUUGUUUUGUUUAUGUUAGUUCACAGUUGUUUUUCAACAAGUUUUGAUUUUAAUUUAUUUGUUAUCAUGAAAUCAAUUCUAGUUCCUUAGUAACUUGCAAUUGGUUUCUCCACUGUUUCAAAUCCCGUUUGGAAAUACUUUCAAAUUGUUUUGUGAAAAAUACUUUAUUUUAUCUUAGUUAAAUUUAUAUCUUAGUUCCCUGUUAUUAUUUUCCGUUGAACAAAAACAAUUUAGUGUUUGAUGUAGUAGAAGACUCGCUAGUCUUAUUUGAAGUUUCCUUCGGAUUCCUAUUCGCUCUCUCUUUUGUUUUGAUUGCUAGAAUGAUUUCUAGUACGAGUGCUUAUGUGAAUGAUAUGUUUGUUAUAUAGAUUUCAUCAGAGAGUGACGAGUAGUCUAUCAAGUUAUUUCUCGAGAAAUUCUUCUUCGUCAACAUCACCACGCAAGUCACUUUGAUCGUACUAUCAACUAUGUUUUAUGCAUCAUAGUUCUACCAUCCUAUGCCCAAAUUGCAUGCUGCUUAGGUACUUUGAAAUUUUAGUAUAGGUUGUAGUAUCAUGUGGUAGGCACCCAACAACCCCGAUACUUGGCCCCGGGACGAGAAAUUUCAUAUUGCUAUGCUUGGGCAGACGGGAUUUCGGUUGAGUGCAUAACACGAGUGAUGCGAGGUUGAUUAAAUAAUCAAGACCGGUUAAGACAAGAUUUUCAAGACCUUGGACACAAUGCAACUCUGGGUGAAGGACAGUUGAUCCGCUCCCUGGAGAACCCAGUGGAUGACCCGGGAUGCUGGAGAGGCCAUGACAUCCUACAGAAAGCUUCACCCGGGCUCAAAGAGACGGAUGGGUAUUUUCAAGACUCAAGGCUUACCUGCACAGCCACAAGUCAUUAUGGGCUCUAGCUUGGUUGGACAACGCGGCGACUUUGGACAGACGGUGCUAGCAGAUGUAGAAGAAUGGUAGGAAUGGAUGGGCAUCGACAGGGAUACAGAGGGACCCGUUGAAAGACCAUGUUUUGAUCAUCCGGUCUUCAAACACCCUGAAGUGCGAGGACAUACACGGAGGCGAUCAAAUCUUGUGGGGAACGUGUGCAAAACUCUACAGAGUACUCAAACCUAAUCGAUUAGCCGUGUCCACGGUCAUGGACAACUUGAGCCAAAGGAACUGAAGUUAUCUGGAUUUCUCAACACCAUUAUAUAUAUUUGAUGAGGGUAAUUAUUGACAACUCGGGUACGAGAACUGGUUGGCGGAACCAUCUUGUUAACAACCAAGAAUGUAGUAACAUUUUGCUUUUAGCCCACUCUUGUUGUAGGAGAAAAACUUGCUUUUCGCUAAAAACUUAUAGCCCCACCUGCCAUAUAUGCAUAUAGUAUAGAUGAUUACUUUUCACCCCUCUCUUAUGUGACUUGCCGGCAUAUUCAAUAUGCUGACCUACACGGCUGCAACGUCUUAUGUUGCAGAUAUUUUUCUUCGACGAGUAAGAGUACGAUUCAGGGUUACGGUCUACACUCAACUUGCCGUUGGUGUUUAUUGGGACUCCACUCCCUUGACCGCUUCCGCUGGGAUGUUUAAGGUAUAUAUCAUUUUUACGCUAUUGUACAUGUGAUUGCACUUUGAUAUAUACAUUGAUGUACUGUGUGUGCCAGCAUACUGAUCCAGGGAUGGCACAGAAACACAGAGGCUUGACUCGUCUUGAGUCGGGUCCCUACAUCACCUUAGCUGUGCCAAGGGAACGAAAUCUGGUUGAUCGAGCGAGAGACAUUUAGCACUCCGCUUCUACUGUUCUCCUUGAUGUACUAGCACAAACCAAUUAUAGAUCAGGCUUGAUAUCUAGCACAUCAAGUAUAGGUCGGAAUUCGGGGCAUCAAAGGGAGUCCAUGAGGAAUAACUUCCAAAAUAAGUCAUACAAACCCUCACAGGGAGAUGGCUAAGAUUGUUGAUAGAAAAUAUAAUAUCAAAUCUUCCGCCUAGGUGUGUUAGCCACAACAUCACUUUACCGAGUUACAUAGAGACCAAUAUUAUAAUUCUUGGGGAAAGUUCCAACCAUUUUAACUGCCUGAGAUUCAGCUCCGGUUGGUGACACGAUGCUUCAGACUCAGCAUGUGUGAAAAGAAAGUUUGCAACACAAAUCGAUGGUAUAACGUUGCAAGAUUCUCAGGAAAUGAACUACGAAAGCCAACUCCAAAACAUGAGCUGGGUUGCAAGACACAUGUGAACACACUGCCCAAGACAAUGAUGACCACAUGAAAAGUCUUACAACAAAACACUACCGAGUUCUGGAUGGGGACCAUUAUUGCGGAUAACGAAACCAUGUGCAAGUCCGUUUGGUACCUUCAGGAAUGGCACUUAACUUCUUUUCCUUGAACAAAUCAAUCAGUGGCUUGGUGUGCUAGGAGAUACAUAUGGAGUGAUGAUGAUCAGUCUAUCAAACCAUAGAAUACUUCGCACAUGCAUGAUUGACUUGGGAUGAUUCCCAAGAAACAAAUUAACUUUUCUCGAAUUCACGGCAGCAACUUGCAUCAGAUGCACAUGAAUUAUGGGAAGUCACUUCUUACACCUAACAUAUACCUCGUGCUCGAGACACGAAGAUAAUGUCUACAAAGUUUCCAGGACUAGUUAAUGUCCAACAUAGAUCAUGGAACAAAUGAGAAUGUUGCCCAUGGGCUCAACAACAAUUCAUCAAGAUACCCAUAUAAAUGGAUUUCCACAACUAUGUGAGCAAGAUAAUAGCAUUGGUGAGAUCAAAGAAUACAAUAGUGUAGGCUCAAGGAAAACCCUGAGUACGAGUACGAAAAUCUUUGGUUCUGAGUUUGAUUUGACAAUAGCCCAUACUCAAAUCAAGGUUGGACAAGAUAAUAUAUGCAACAAUUGAUCACACGGAUCCACCGAUGACAAUAUAAUCUUUCUUCAAGAGUCUCACAACAGGAAAGAUAUCCCUUUAAAAUGAACUAAGUUUAGGCGAAGCUUUUAUCUUCCAACUCUCCAAGUUGUUGUUUAGCUUAACCAACUAGAUCGGGGUAUCCAACACGGAUUCUUGGAGAAAAUGGCUUAUAGAGAAACCAACUUGAUCACGAGCUCUUAUCAUAACACUCAGGAAACAACCUGGAAAUACUUCCGAGAAGAUAUUCGGAAAAUCACGAACCACCGAUAUAUUAUUAAGCUCGGGAAACAAUCUCGCUUUUCAAGGCAAGAUGAUGUGAUCAAUAGAGCAAGGGAUUGACACAAUCCGAUCCCAUCGAUUGAAAAGUGCACCAUGAAAUAUGGACUAGGUAGCACGGUCAAUCUUAGAAUGACGAUUCAAUCAUCAUCACCAUAAGAGUGAAUUUAUUAUCCAUUAGCUACCAAGCAAUAACGUUGCUAGGAGUAUUGAUUUCACACAUCAUGGUUCACUUGUCGAUAUUACAGUUACAACCAACACGGAAACCGAGGGAUGAAUAAUAAUAGCGAGAAGUAUCACUACAUGAAGAGCUCAUAAGAGAUGGUGCAAUUCGCACGACAUUCUUGACAAGAAGAGGGUAAUACUCCAAGAUAGGACAGAACAAAAGCUGGUUAGCAUUUCGAUCUGUGGAAUACAACUACUCUGACCCAAUCCAAGAAAUGGAUGAGGUACUGGAGUUUACUUCUCCCAGUCAUUCGAGAAUAGAACAACUUGACAAACCACGAAAUAGAAGACAUCGUUGACACGAAUGUACAACUACUUUUGACUAACCUCUCAAUGAUGAAGGUCAAAAUACAACUAGAUAGGGCCACCUCAAGAGCACAUGGUUUCUUGAGUUGUGGAUGCAUGGAUUAGCAUGUCGAACGGGUUCAACAUAAUUCUUCCAGAUAACCCAUGCAGAAGGGCGGAGUAGGAAGAAUCACAAUAUGGAGUAGAGAACUCAUCACGAGCACUCUUGUUAUGAUCUUUAGUUCACGGAGAACUUUUGCCAAAGAUGAUUCAUGGUGUUGGAAAAAUGAUAUACCAUGAACCUUGGGAGCUACAACAGGGUUACUAAUCAUUCUAAAGGAACUAGCAACACUAUCAACAGAGAUGAGCAGAAUGAUCCUUGGAUUCGAUGACCCAGAAAUAGAAUACCUAAAAACGAAAUAACAUCACGAGAUGUUUUUGAAAAUGAUGGCCAGAACUAUCACACUGGAAGACAUAGCACCCAUCUAGACUAUUGGGUAGUUUUCGGAGUAACAUGGUUUCCUAAUACUUCAAAAAAAACAUCGAGGUAAUGGAGUACCUCAACACAGUGAUUAGUGUGCUUUGUCUGGCCAAAAGACAUUAGAAAUAAGAGGAAGGAAGUUGCAAUUGCAACAGAUUAUUUAGAAACUUUGGAAAAGUCGGACAACAUAACGGCUGUGCGGGCAUGAAAUAUGAGGCACCCUGCAAGAAAACGAACAACAUAACAAUUGAAUUCUUAUGGAGACACUGAUCCAGGAAGAAAACAACUUUUCUAUAAGUCUCCAACAUAGUAACUCGUCAUCCUAAUGAAUACAUGAGAAAUCCUAACUAUUAAACCCCGUAGAAUAAAGAAGAGGAUGACUCAGAAUAAGAAUGACACAAGGAAAGGAGUAAAAGAGCCUUACGUUACCUUCCACAAACAAUUACCUUAUAUAACUAAAGAGUUGCUAGACUCAACAUCGACCAGUUUGGCUUGCUUAUCCUACAUGCAGUCAAUCUCUGAUACCAAAGUUGUCGGGAGCCCGAUCCUGAGUCAUAAGAACCCAACCUGUAACACAUCACAUCACUUUGCGGCCUCACGCACGGCAAACUCCACGGCUGCCACCUUACCUUGGCCCGGACCGUUUACAUCUUUUGGCUCACGUAUAUGAAUAUGUUGCUAGCGUUCAAACGACAAAGAACCUAGGUCGACAUGACUAGUUAUAAACCCAAGCGGUACAUCUGUACAGGGACAGACAUACAUAACCCAGCAAAGCAGGUGUCGAUCAACAACGUGUGUAGACGAGUCGUAGCAAGCUACAAGGACUCCAUUACACCGCGUGACAUUUCCCCGAGGGGACAGACACAACAGCAAAGAAGGAUACACGCCGGUCAAUCAAUGUGUCUAGAGCAGUAGAAAGCUACCAAGGCUCGAUAGAAGCACAAAGAGGCAUUUCCCUGUAAAGAGUACUACUAAAGGCACACAACUAGGUGUCGAAUCCCACACAUAUAAUGCAUUUCAUAACAUACACACAAUAUGCACGAUAUGUGUAGAUGCAACAUGGCAUCACAACAUAACUCUACGACUCAAGCUUUUAUUAAGGACUCAUAAGAAUCAACAUAGUGUGUUAUUACAAAAAGGGGUCCCGUAACCCGACACUCAAGUCAUACAAACAACAAGCAGAAGCAAAACAUGUCUGGGUACAGACAUCUACUAAAAAUUGUUGGAAGAGCCUGAAAAGCUACUACGACCCUACCAAAGGAGCCAGACCUUUGUCUGGGAUUCCCAAGCUAUUCCGGUCAACGUCGAACACAUCGCUUAGAACCUUAUAAUGAGUCUAAAACUUCUCUGCAAAAACAUAAAUAAAGCAACAGUGAGUACAAAGGUAAUCAGCAAGACUUACAUCAGAACUAUCUACAUAUGCAUCAUGUUUCAAUGGAAGGAUUGUGUGGUUUGAUUUCAGCAAGCCAGCUUUGACCCUUGGCUAGCCUGUACUACGACUAAAAGUUCUUUUUUUGAGGUGGGAUAGCGCACACGAGUCCACAUAUUCAUCAAUCAAAACACCACUAUGGAUUCACUCUCGUCUCCCUACGAUAAAGCCUUCCAUAGCACUCACACUUAUCUUGCAUGUUUUAGAGUAUCCAUUUAAAUUGUCUAUGUACCACGUAAUGCUUCCAAGUAGUCCAUAUCCGAGGACGUGGCUAUUCGAACAGAUUAAAUCACCCUACAUGGGUAUACUUCUUCACGCACGUUCCGACCACUUAUCACCAUGUGCAAGUCAUGCAUCUCGGCAACCUUCAAGCGGAAGCACUGGCGUGGGUGUCGGCCAUGACCGUUAACCACACAAGACCCUAGUCAAGGUUUAUCGCCUAUUUGUGACUGAACCCGCAAGGAAGUCCGGCCGAGGUUUCCUCUACGGCCCCAAACGAUGUGCGCAGUGUUCCCAAGCCCACCAUCCGGGUGCCACUUGAUACACCGUGCCACUUUGUAUCUACCGUAGAGAAGCCCACCCCGUCGGGCCGAGCUAAACACGGCCGCCAACACUUUUCCUACAAACAGCAGAAACUAGUUGCAACUCCUGGACAGAGAUCUAGGCGAUUAAUAACCCAAGAGGGUCAAUUAAGUAUCCCAAUUUGUGGUAGUAUCUUGUCUUGGAUAACAUACACAUAACUCAGUUCUUAAGGACGGUCCCAAUGAGACAACCCACCAUGUACUCCUAUAUGGCCUCUCAUCGCUACCUUUACCAAAUCGGAUUCACACUUUUACUCUCCCACUAUAGGACAUGAACACAACCAUUCUGAUUCAUCAUCCAGAUAGGUCAGACCCGACACGACUCUAAGCAUAGCAGGCAUUGUAAACAAGCAUGGAUGAGUAAGCACAACAAGACUCAAGCAGUUGCUACUCAUGUUAAGUGGUUUCAACUAUUUACUGUGACAAAAUCAGGUCAUGCAGAGGAAUGGGUUCAACUACCGAUAACAUGUACAAUUGAAUCGUGUUUGUCCUAAUGCAGUAAAAGAGAGAAGGAGCGAGAGAGAGGGUUUAUAUCAAUAUGCUCAAGGGGGUUUGCUUGCCUGACAUGUGUGAAGAUAGCAAUGAGUCUUCAUCAAUGUCAACGAUCACAUCGUCGGAAACAUCGUCUACUGAGAGGGAACAACACCGGCAAACAAGAAAGAACAACAAUUACUUCACGGAAAUGCAACACUAUGAUGCAUGCUCAAGACAUGAAAUUAAAGGUGGCAGGGCUAAUCUAUCAUUUCUUAAGUUGAAGUUGGAUUUGAAUUUGAAUUCAAAUAUCACUUCAAGCAAGGAAUUUUCCGGAUACCCUUUUAAUUGAUUUGACCUGAUGCUCAGGUACAACUUGUUUUUUUAACAUGCAUGAAGAUGGUAUUUUGAGGUAUUGAUUUUCCUUGAUCAAUGUUUGGUCAUAUCAAUUGAAGUGGAAUUCAAAUAGGUAUCAAAUUCCAACUCCAAACUAAUUAUUAAAUUUAUCCUAUUCACCAUUUGGCCUAUUUGGUGAUUUUAACUUUUUCGAACAUGCAUGAAAAUACCAUAAUCAGAUUCUUUGGUUUUUUCUGAUCAUUUUUCAUAGAUAAAUUAUUUUCAUUGGACUUACAAAUUAUUUUCUAUGAUUUUUAGAAGUUUUAGGCAUUUUCUGGAAUUAUUUUAUAAUAGAAAAUCAAUUACUGCGUCAGCACUGCGUCAGCACUGCGUCCGCAUUGCGUCAGCAGUCAACUGUCCUGGGUCAGGUCAAACCUAACAUGUGGGGUCCACACAUGAGUGACACAGUUAAAUUAAGAGAGUUAGGUUAAUCUUAAUUCUUAUUUUAGAGCUAUAGGGCCCACUGUCAGUGAGUCAUUGUUUAACUAAAUAGUUAUUAGGCGCUAAUUAAACACCUGACCGGCUGGGCCCACAUGGGAGUGGCUCAGGCCGAUGAGGUCGACGCCGGCGACCAACAGAGUGACGGGGGCUCACCGGAAUUCCUCGAUCUCGUGCUAUAGGCUUCGGAUUUGCACGCGGUUGAGUUCUACGGAUAGCUGAUGAAGCGCAACAUCCAUUCCAACCCAGCCAGGAGGUGGCUGGAAUGAGGCCGGCGACGACCUCGGGCGGUGGCUGGAGUCGGCCAUGGUAGGGCUAGUGCUAGAGGGCAGGAACGGAAGGGGAGAGCACAGGAGGAGGAGCAGGAGCUCACGGCGGUUCCAAAGGAGGCAACAGUGACGGAGGAGGAGCUCGGGGCAUGGCGAAUCGACCUCGAGGUUGCCGGCGGCCGGAGAUGGGGAGGGAGCUCGCGCUCGUCGUCUCUGGGCCCUGCGGUCCGAUUCCUUCGGCGGUGAGGUUGAGGGCGAUGCAGCUGAGCUACCGGGGAUCUUUGGAGGACUUCGGGUGGUUGGAGGUGUCGGUGAGCUCGAGCCGAGGUCGGCCAUGGCGAGAGGAAAAAGUKCAGAGGGGGAGAGAUAAGGGAGAGAGAGAGGGAGGGGCUCGGGGGAGGACGAAAAGAGAGGCACGGGGGGGGGGGGGUGGGGUUGCUAGCGCGGAGAAGGCGAGGAGAGGCUGCCACGACGAGCAGGAGGUGGCAAGGUGAGCCGCCAUGCUCAUCUUCUCCCCUGCUUUCUGGCAGGAGGAGGGAGACGAUAGGGAACCCCCCUUGGUGGGCUGGGCCUGGAGGUAAGCGUCACGUAAAUUCUCUCUCUCUUUUCCUAUUUUUGUUUUAUUUCUUUGUGGCAUUUAGAUUUAGGUUUAAAACAAAAUGUUUAAAUAUUUUAUUAAACCCUAAAUUAGUGUUAUGUGAGAGAUAAAGAUAAUCAAUGCCACAUAAUAGUUUCAACAUUUUUGAAACUUUUAUUUUAAAAGAAAACAAAAUAACUCCAUUCCGAACAAUUAUUUGAUCAUGUCAAAAAUCCUUUUCAAAAUGUUCCAGUGACUUCAAAUUUUGGGUUGACAAAUUUAUUCCUUGUCACUAUUUUCCCAAAUAUUUGGAACAUUUUCCUGGUUCCUUCUAAGGUAUUAAUUUUUAUUGCCUUGUUGCCAAUUUUUCAAAUCAUUGGGGUUUUGAUUACUUCCUAUUUUAAACAUCAAAGUUUUAUAAUGCAUGCAUGAAUGCUUGGCAAACAAAUGAAAGCUAGGGCUGUGGCAUCCAUAUAUUAUUUCACAAUGAUAUUUAGCUAUCCGAUGAUGUUUGAGUAGAUCCGUUUUGUCCUAUGGGUUAGUUGUGGUAUGAUGCUAUUGAUAUGAUUUGUAUGUUGAUAUGGUGUUGUCCUAUGGUGCCCUCUGUGUUGUGCAAGCGGAGGGAUCCCCGUUGUAGGGUACUGCAAUAUGUCCAUAAUUUGCUUAUGGAGGGUUGCUUGAGUCACAGAUGCAUAAACCCAAGUAGGUGGGGUAUGGCGUAUGGGAGUAAAGAGGACUUGAUACUUAAUGUUAUGGUUGGGUUUCACGACCUUAAUGAUCUUUAGUAGUUGCGGAUGCUUGCUAGAGUUCCAAUCAUUAGUGCAUAUGAUCCAAGUAGAGAAAGUACAUUAGAUCAUGCCUCUUCCUCAUUGCAUAUAACAAGUAUCUAUUGUAUCAUAUUCAAUUGCAUAGGGACAAUCUUUCCAUUGCGUUACAAAAAGCUUUAUGCAUCACUACCAAGUUUUUUUACUUGCAACGUACUUCGAGUUUACUUAACGCAAAGUAGUUUCAUAGUAAUUAUAGGUGGAGCAAGCAUUAGCGUGCGUAGUUUUGUAUCGGUGGUCAAUAGAACUUGAGGGAAUAUUUAUUCUACCUUUAGCUCCUCAUUGGGUUCGACACCCUUACUUAUCGAAAAAGCCAACAAAAGAUCCCCUACACUUGUGGGUUAUCAAGACUAAAUUCCAUUACGUGGAUGUCAAAGUCACAAAGUUGGCUUCAAUUGUUGAGCUCCUCCAGCAUGAGGUUGAUGCAGUGCAUAUAUCCCAUUCUAGCAGUGAUGAUGAAGAGUCUCCUCUUCCAACGACUACUCAGUUCAGGACACAGUCUAGGUCUGCAGUUGUGCCAGUGGAAGAAGCAAUACCAACUUCGUCACCUCAAGCAUCAGCGCCUUUAUCUCCAACUCCAGCUCCUGCACCUCCAGAGUCUACAGCUCCACCUCCAGGGACAUCCGCAGAAGCCUUUGCCGACGCUCUCCUGUCUACUCCAUCGACUCCUACCGGAGGAGAUCAAGCCUAUUGUGACGCUUAGUUCUAGACCUUUUAACUUUUGGGUAACUUGUUGCCAAAGAGGGAGAAGUGUAUAGAUCAAUUAGGGCUGAUAGAGAGAGAGAGCUUUGCUUUUAUUUUCUCUCAUUUUGGUUUUUCAAAACAUUUGGUCUUUUGGUCCUUUGGAUGACUUAAUCUUUACUCCAUGGUCAUUUAUUUAAUUAGACAUGGGAAAAUCUAUUACAUAUAUCAUGAUAAAUUUGUUAGAUAUAUCAUGGAAGAUACUUUAAGAUGUCACAUUGUUUUCUCUUAUUCAUACCAUGGAAAAUUUAUUUAUUAGACCAUGGUAGUUUUAUAAUAUGUAGCAUCGAAAUUUUAUCUAUUCAAACAUGGAAAGUUUAUCAUAUGUAGCAUGGCAUUUUUAUGAGUUGGACUAUGGAAAAUUUUGGAAUUCUAUUAUUUACCAUCUUUUUUUCAAAGAUAAAAUUUCCUAAAAAUAGAUUUUGCCCCUAAUUAUAAAUAUAAAAUAAUUGUCAUGUUUCUCAGAGAACAUAAUUAAUAAUUUUUUGUCGUGUUAUUAUUAGCAAAUCAAAAACAUUAGACCAUAAAAUUUUAUUAAUUAGUUCAUCAAAAAAUUGGAAUUCUUACAAUGGCCAAUUAUUAAUUACACCAUUUGCAAUUUUAUUCUAAAUUCCAUGGCAAUUUCAUUUACUAGACCAUAGAUCUUUUUUAAUUAAACCAUGGUAGUUCUAGUUUUGUAGCUACCAUUACAAUUCUAUUUUUUAGUCAAUGGCAAUUUAUUUAAUUAUACCGUGGCAAACUUAUUACAUAUAGCAAGGACAAUACUUUGUAUAUAAGAAUGGCAUAUUUUAUUGAUCAUUCCAUGGAAAAUUAUUUUAGUAUGUUCCAUUAUAAUUUUCAUAUUGCAUAUAGAUGAAAAAACAUGGAGUCAUGGAAAAUUUCUCUAUGUUUUUCAUGUACAUUUCCUAUUAGUUAUGUAUGUUUAUUUUUUCAAACAUGAAAUUUUACGGGCAUGUGACCCUUCUGUAAAAAUGAUAUACACUUUGUCGUGUCACCAAUAUGUAUUUUUCCGCAAUUUUCCCAUGUUACCAUUUUAUAUGAAUCAUGUUAGACACCUUUUUUGUGCUUGUAAUGUAAGUACCUUUAUUUUAUAUAACACAAAAAUACUUAGUUUAACUAUACAAGUUUUUCUACACAAUACCAUGAUGGUUUUUGUGUGCAUGAUGGCAAGUUUUUCAUUUAUUUUUUCUACUUAUUUUGACGCUUGGGCCGUUUUUGGGUUUUUAUUAGAGGGAAGGAAAUUAAUGAUGUUGGAAACCCAUCAACGGCUAGAAUGUUUGGACUAUGGGGUUUCCUCGAGUGAGCAAAAAAAUUCACUCGGUUAGCGUGUAGGUUUUUAAUCAAUAUUUGAUAACGCAAUCAAAUAGAAUACACACAGUUAGUUAACAUAUUUGAUCUGAUUACACUUAAUUACUUUAUUUAAUUCAAUAUAAUAUAUAUAAUCAUUUAGUUAACUAAUUAUUUUAAUUAAAGGUUAGAAUUGUGGACAUAUGAUUAUAGGAUCAAAAGUAUGUCUAGAAGGAGGUGAAUAGACUACUGGCAAAAAUUAAAGGACUAUUUUCCCAAUUUUGAUUACUAGUAGAUUCAAACUUAGCUAGAAAUACAAUAGAACCCUGAAAAUGCAUGUCUAGAGUAUAAGGAGCAGAAACAAUGCAUGCAAGUGCAACUAAUGUACAUAGUAGAGUUUGAGAGAAUCACAAACAUAAGUUGAUACGGUGUAGAUUCUUUACCAUGGUUCCAAGAAGUGGUGCUAUCAUACAUACACAUUAAUGGAGUCUUCGAUCCAUGGAGGAUCUAAUAUCACAUAGUAGAGUUGCGAGAUCCCAUGGAGGAAUCGAUUUCACGAAGAUCUCACACCCACAAAGGAUCCAUGAAGGAGCAACCUCACCUAUUCCACCAUGGCUUACGCCCAUGAAAGACUAUGCCGAGUCAGGUAGAUCUUCACAAAGUAGGAGAUCUCCAAGGCCUCACAAACAUCUUGGCCUCUGCACAAUGGUUGCAGACUUCUAAGCACUCCUGGCCGAUCUAGAAGGCACUAGCCUCCGAAAGGUAAUAGAUGGAGUUAUUUAUGAUGAACUCCUUUCUCUUGUGCUUGAAAAUAUAAUCACCGCAAAACUCAAACACUCUCAUAGAUUUUAGCUUUUGGGAGUUGAGGUUUUGGAUGAACAAAAUGAGGUGACUUGGUCUUAAACAAUUAAAGGUUGGAGUGGAAUCAUUAAUAUCAUCAUCGCUUUGAAAAAUAUGUGAUAUACAAGAACACCCCUAAAUUUUGCAUUAAUUAGAUUUGUGUUUAAAUGCAAUUGCAUAACAGAUUAGGAAUAUGAGGACCUCUUGUAUGCCGCAGACAACUUGGUGUGCACAAAUAUAAUAUAAAAAAAAACACCAAAACACAUGUCAAUGACCACCAAAGAUACACUAGAGCUUAGACGAGUAGCAUAAGUAUAGUAGCACACUACUUUGGUUCAUCACAUACAAAUAAAUGAGUUUACAAGGCAUAAAAUUCAAGUAAAGUAACAAGGAAUGUUACUCGGUAAAAUAAACGCUCCCUAACUCAAAGUUAUAUUAUAUAUAUAUCACUCCCCUUUUUAGUAGUGGGAGAGACAAGGGGGCGAGCAAGGGCCUGCCCCCCUAAUGAUCGACAAUUUAUUUAGAGGCUACAAGUAAUUACCUGCUAGAUUAAGGAAUAUAAAUACUUUCGCCCCUUAACCCAAACGAAGAUUAUGAAGAAUUACGGGCAAAAGGCCCAAAGAAAAGCCCACUCCUCAACAAGGAAUCUAUUACUUGGCCUAUGGCGUUAUCCUAAAUCAAGCCAACCCCUGAGCAUGAUUAACUUGUAACCUGAGACGAUUAGCUCUAGCGAUGGCCACUGCAUCGUGCCCUCACACUACUCGUGAAGUCGAUUAGAAUGAGGCGAAACCGGCUCCGCAACUGGCGAAUCAAGGUUGCACUCUGUCAAUUCUCAAGGGGUCCAGCCCCAAGGUUAGGAAUAUUGGGAACUACUCUAUCUACUAAUCCCUAUCAUCUCUAAUCUUGUAGGAGUUGAAAUUGUACACCCAACUUUAGUUAUUUUGACGGUGUGAUGUAUGAUUCUAAUUCACUUUCAGUUUCUUUCAUUGUUUGAUUUGUGAUGUGGUCAUGAGGGAAAACGGCUUCAAACGACAUAAAGAUUAAUUCUCUUUUUAAGUACAUUGUUUUAAGUUCUCGACCUAGAAUAAUAUUGUCAAUGAGAUUAUUGGCAAUUUUUAGCAAUCACAAUUAAGUGGACAUGACUUCUUUGAAAUUAUUGAAGGCACAAUUCCACCCUAAGGUGGUUUUCGUAAUUAAUAAAAACAUAUGUAUCAUUGAACUAAUGAUUCUAUCCAAGUAUAUUUCAGAAAAGUUCAAAGUUGCACCGGCUAAAUGGUUGUGAGUAGAAACCCCUUGGUGCAAGGAAAGGAAUAGGAUUGGCCAAACUUGAAGCAAGAGGAAUCUACAUUUUAUAUUUGUGAGAAAUCACUUUUGAGUCCAUAGGAAAGUCAGUACUAUUAAAAGGGGGUGAGGUAUUUAUGAUGAAUUGAUUGCGCAAGUGCUUAGCAAUAGCCACCAAAAAUACUCGACAUUCCUCUCACUAAAAAUCUCAGUCCAAAGCCUUUACACCAAAAUCGGUGCCACCAAGAAUUCCAUUUCGGCCCUACCGAUUUUACAAGUGAUAAUGCUUUGCCAAACCCUAAUCUCUUGGUACCACUAACUUUCACAUCGAUGCCACCGAAAGGCAAUGACCAACUCUCUAGUAACUCUAUUUGAAGAAUCAGAACUUCCGAGAUUGAAAUCGGCACCAUCGAGAUUUGGAAACUGUCCUAGGUCAUCGAAUCGGUACCAUCGAGAUAUAUAUCAGUCUCACCGAGAAUUCAAAAGUUGCCACAUUUAGUGCAACUCGAUACCACCGAGAUUCAUUUCGGUGUCGCCGAGUUGGGAAAUAAUGUUGUAAUGGUUGGAUUUGGAUAUGCCUAUAUAUAACACUCCACCACUAUUAGAGCAUAUUUCUCCAUAUGUGAUUUUGGUAAUUGAUGACAAUCCCUAUGUACUAAUGGUUGCCUUAAGAUAUAUUUGUAGGAUUUGUCCAUAGGCACUUCUUGAAGUCCAUCUGUUGGUUUCAAGGAGUUUAUGUGAUGACUAAGGUGGUAUCCAAGGUUUUAUCCAAAGAUUGGUCAUAAAGACGCAAAGUUGAUCAAGACUAAGUCAAAGAGUAAAUCAAGUUGAUCAACACACAAAGCGUACAAGAUGUACCGAGAAAGAUCAAGUGAUCCCAUGGUAUGUCAAGCAUUGUCCAUUACGCUUUGUGUACUAACCCAUGGUAUUCAUGAGAGUUCUAUGUAGGGUUAGGUGUGUUUCCAUGGGUUUGCGUCAAGAGGAAGAUCUCAUUCAACCCAUGGAAGAUUGUGGUGUGCAAGUUCAAGUGGAGCAUCAUGAAGAUAUCAUGCUUGAAGCUUGUCGUCCAUUGUGGUGGCAAUGGACUUGUGAAGAUGUGUUGAAGAGUAGCUCACCCAUAGUGGAGUAUGGAGGAAAUUUACAAGUCUUCAUCGAGCCAGCACAAUCAAGAAAGGUGGUUCAUCUUGAGGAAGUCAAGAGCAUCAUAAUCUACCUCAAGUGGAUAGCUACAAGAUAUUGGUUUGCCCUUAAUAGGUUUUUUCUAUUUUAGGAUAGAUUGUCGUAUUGUCAAGGAGGGUUCUCAAGUGAAUAGCUUGAUUGUAUCAUUCGUUGAGAGCUCAAACCAUUUGCAUCCUUGCAUCAUCUUUCUUGGUUCUUGUUUGGUUGUUCUCUUUGUGAGUUCAUGUGCAUCCUCUAUGAUGUUUUCGAUAUUGGAGUUUUUGUCGGUUCUUCAUUCAUAGAGGUUUCACAUCUCUGUAUCAUUGGCAUUUUUCUACUACAUCUUCUUGCAAUAACCAUUCGUUGAUUGGCUAACACUUAUCGUGUGUAAUCCAACAAGUUAUGGUUGUUUUUGGCUUACCUGUUUUUCACUAAGAGUUUGUACCACCCCUAAGAGAGGUUGUACCGCUAUAUUACAUUUACCGGUUGCACCGCCCCUAUGUUCUUCUGCACAUAACGAGCAGAUUUGUGGGGACCUAUUUAAGGGGAUAUUCUUCCCCAAUGGUUCCCUAACUCUUGAGCUUGUUUUUGCCCCCCAUUGUUGACCUUCUUAGAGCUUGCUAACUAUCAAUCCCUCCAAUGAUUCUUGCUCCUUUUUGAGGGAAACAAGAGAGGAGAUCUAGAUCCACAUUUCCACCAAUAACUUUCUCCUCUAUGUGAGGGGAAUCCCUUGGAUCUAGUUCUUGGAGUUCUUGGUUUUCCUCUUUGUUCUUACUCUCAUUUUCCACCAUAGCAUUAGCUGUUGUGGUGGGAUUUGGGAGAGAAGGACCUGGGCACUCCAUGUGCCCUUGCCAUUGCAUUUGGUGCAUUGGUUUGAGUUCUCCAUGGUGAUACGUGGAAGUAAUGUUUGAGAAUCUUAUUACUCUUUGGUGCUUGGUACCUUAGAGCUAGUUCUUCUUGGAUGCUUUGGCAUCCUAUAACCUUGGUGGUGCCUCGGAGCUCAAUCAUUGUGGUGUAAAGCUCCAGGCAAGCGUCGGGGUCUCCAAUUAGGUUGUGGACAUUGCCCCGAGCAUUUGAGGUUACCUUGAAGCCAUAUUCCAUUGUCGUGAAGCUUCGUGGUGUUGUUGGGAGGCUCUAAUUAAGUUGUGCAGAUUGCCCCCACCUUAUUUGUAGUUUGUACGGAUUCACUGACCUCCCUCAAGGGUCCCUUAGUAGAAUCACGACAUCUUGCAUCGUGCGAGGGCGUGAGGAGAUUACGGUGGCCUUAGUGGCAUAUUGGGGAUCAUUGUGGCUCCACACCGCUCCAAACGGAGAUUAGCAUCCGCAAGGGUGUGAACUUCGGGAUACAUCAUCGUCUUCACGUGCUUCGGUUAUCUCUUACACCCGCCCUUUACUUAUGCACUUUACUUUGUGAUAGCCAUAUUGUUUCUUGUUAUAUAUCUUUCUCUCACAUAGUUGUUUAUCUUGCUUAGCAUAAGUUGUUGGUGCUCAUAGGUGAGCCUAGUUGUUUUAGGUUUUGUGCUUCACAAGUUAACUGUUGAUUUUAUUCCGUAUUUGUUCAAGCCUAAACUGUAAUAAUUUUAAAGCGCCUAUUCACCCCCCUCUGGGCGACAUCCACGUCCUUUCAAUUGGUAUCAGAGAUAGGUCUCUCGUUAUUAGGUUUUACCACCUACAGAGUAAGGAUGUCGAGUAGGCGAUUGGGAUUCUCUAACACUCUUAGUUUUAAUGGCACAAAUUUUGAUGUUUGGGUAAUUUACAUGCUUAAUCUCUUUAGGGUCAUGGACCCAAAUUUAGAGUGAAUCGUAGAUGUGGGUUUUUUUUCCUCCAAAGGAUUCUCAAAACAUAUAUUUAGAGGAUGAGAAAAACUCUUAUCUCAAUGCUCAAGCUUCUAAUGUGCUUUUUGAAUCUUUGAGCAAUGUGGUUAUAUUUCAACUCAUGUCAUUCUGGGAUGCUCAUUAGUUGUGUACAAAGCUUCAAGAUAAAUAUGGUGUGUCCAAGAUUUGUAGGGAUGAUUUUUCUCCCUCCACCUCCGGCCGUGUUGUAUUCUCAACUUCAUCUACUUCACCUACAUGUCGAUUUCCACAAGGUAAUGAUAUGGUGAGUAGUGGUGAUCAUUGCAAUGAUGAUAGUGGGCUUAUUGUUAAUGAUACUUCAUCACUAUCAUAUUGUAAUGCUUCAUCUUUGGGCGUUAACACUUCGAGCACUCUAAAUGUUUUACAUGCCUGUGUUGAUAGUCCUUGCAUAUCAUGUAAAAACUGCUUGACUAAAUCUCAUGAUGAUAUGCUUUCUAUAUCUUGUUGCCAUGAUAAAAAUGUAUCUAUUUCCUCAAGUUGUUGUGCUAGCAAUGUAGAGGAAAUCCAUCACUCCAUGUAACAAGAUGUGGCCUUUAAUGAUGCUUCAAGGGAUCCUUCAACAUCAUCUAUUGUUUCUCAUUUUCGCCUUAUGGCUAAGGCUUCAAAGGUAUCUCCUACUUUUGAAUCCCAACAUAUCUCAUGAUGAUGAUGUGGAUGAAACUGUGGAUGGAGAUAAUGAUGAAGAGAGUGAUAAUAUUGCAUCCUUAAAACAUAAGGGUGAAAUGAUUUUUAAACCUCUUCAUAAGAAUAAUCUUGCUCAUUCCAACUUCAUGGAAAUCAUGUCUAUUGCCAUUGAGGGCAAGAAAUAUAUUGAGGAGUUGGAAGCUCAUCUUGAGGAGCAUGAGGCCACCAUUGAGACAAUGGAAGGUCAUGAGCGUGAUUACGCUAAUGAGAUAGCAGAGCUAUCCCAAGGUCUUGAAAAUGAACAAACCACCAAGAAAUCUCUUGACGAGACCUUUUCUAUAGAAUUAUAUAGAUUAAAGGAAACCCAUGAUAAAGCUCUCGAGGCGGCUAAUGAUUUUAGAACUAAAACUUAUAAGCUUGAAGUUGCUCAUGCUAGAAUCCUUGAGGACUAUGAGCACCUCGAAAAUGGCUCAAGGGCUAUGAAGAGUUUGAUCAUCGAACUCACUGAUUUUCAUGCUCAAUUUGGAGCUUCAUAUGCAAAUGAGCUUGCCAAGUUGCCUUCUCCUCUUGUUGUUGAUAAUAAUGCCUGUGCUUCUAUCUCUAUUUCUUGUGAAUCAUCCAUAUUAAAGGAGAAUGUUGAGCUAAGGGCUCAACUUGAGUUGCUAUCUAGCAAUUAUGGGAAAUUGGCAGAAAGUCAUGCAAUGCUCACAAGCUCUCAUGAUGAUCUCCUAGUAUCCCAUAAUAUGCUAAAAUUAGCUCAUGAGGCUAUUACUACCAAGGUAACAUCAAGUGAGCCUCAUGUGGACAUUAGCACUACUUCUAGUCAAAAUGCUAUAUUGCCAUGUGCUAGUCCUCGUAAAUCAUCUACUCAUAAUGUUGCUACAUCUUGUGAUGAAUUACUUUCCUUACAUUGUUUCUCGAACAAUGAUGCUUAUAAUUCCUCGAGUACUUGUGUUGAUACUAACCAUGAAGAGGAAAUCAAAGAGCUCAAGUCCCAAGUCACUUCUUUGAAGAAAGACUUCCAAAAGAGUCAUGAAGGGAUGUCCACACUCAACAAUAUCCUGUGUGGGAAAAAAUCCCAAAAUGGCAAAGGUGGACUUGGAUUCAACUCCAAUAAGAAGAAGAAGUCCAAGAGCAACAAUAAGAAGGGCCAAGAACAAAUCAAGAACUCGGCCAAGAUUGCUUGCUUCAAGUGCAAGAUUGAAGGGCAUCAUGUUAGAUCUUUCCCAUUGAAGAAGAAGCCGCAUAGUCACAAGCAACAAGGGAAGCGGCCACAAGUUCAAUUACAUGCUCAACCACAAGUUCAAGAAAGUCUACUUCCCAAGAAUAUCCAAGUAAACGCUCCUCAAAUUAAGAAAUCAAUUGAGAAGAAAGUAAAGGGUAGGUGUUGCUACUUAUGUCGUGAGAAGGGUCACUUCGUCUCUUCAUGCACGAACAGUAACUUAUCCAACCCAAUCAUUAUUGAUGAUAUCUAUUCUGUUGGGAAGGAUAAAGUUGUCAAUGUGUUUGCCAAGUUUGUUGGUACUCCAAGUGGUGUCAAGAAAAGAACCAUUUGGGUAGCCAAUCCUAUUGUGACUAACCUCUUAGGUCCCAACUUGGUUGGGGACCCACAAACUCAAACUUUAUCAAUAGGUGAUGUUUGAAGGCAUUAGAGACUUUGCUAAAUUAUGAACAAUUAAGGGAUCUUCAUCAUUAAAAUUAUCUCAAGCCAAGUCAUUUGGAUGAUCGAGUUUCCAUCUUAUAUCCAACGUGCCUCCUUACGGUAACUUGUACUUAAAUUGGUUACAUUGUUAGUUACUUUCUCCUAUGCGUGUUGUGGUUUUUGCCUUGCAUGUGCUUGUAUAUAUUGUGCUUCCAACUUGCUUAUCUUGAGUAUUCAAGUAUGUGUAUAUUGGUUUGCACAUCUUGUACAUGUGAGUUUUGUGUUGAGACUUUUUGCAUUGCUUGUAUCUUAGUUGGCUCUUUUGAGAUAUUAAUGGAUUAUCGCAUUGUGGGGGAGUGAUGUGCUUUGCGCACCUCACAAUCCUAUAAAUGUGUAUAUAUGAGGAAUACCACUUAGUAUUGAUAUUUGAAGAUUAUCUAGUCUCUAUGUGGUAUGUCUUACUCAUGAGAAAUUCAAAUUCUAAAUGGUCCAUUAAUUAUCUCUUGUUGGUUUUCAUUUUCCACUUGUUAAUAAUAUUAGGUUAUCACAUUAUGAGGGAGUAAUAUGCUAUGUGCAUAUUACAAGCCUAGAAAAUGUGUAUAUUUGAGGUAUUGCCACUUAGUGUUGAUAUUGUAGAUUAUCUAGUUCCUGGGUGCCAUGUUAGCUCUACAAGUGUGAGUUCCUUGCAUUUUAGGAGUAAAGAUGAUGUUGGAUAUUUUUGCAAUCUACCAAUGGAAAUUGUUUCCAAAUACUUCUUAUCCUUUGACAAUUGGUAUUCCCAUCAUGUGGUAGAAAUUGCUAAUCAUCUUUACAUUGGAUUUUAUGUAUCGUUUGUCUUCCUUGCCUCUUCUCGAUUGGUUUGAACAUGUCUUGUGUUUCUACAGAUAUAGAAAAAGUGAUGAUACCAUCUGGUGUUGUCGGCGAUGCUAGGUCGACACCUAUGGUGAUCAUCAUGCUACCCUUGUGAUCGUAGGGCGGGGGAAGACAACGUCAAGAGCAGAUCUAACGAUCAACACCUGGCAUGCAUUUUUACCCAGGUUCGGGCCGCUUAUGCGUAAAACCCUAUGUUAUGCUCGUCUGAUCGUAUUAAGCAUUUUUCGUUGUUUGUUACAGUCAUGAUAACCGUCUUCUUGGCCAAUCUCUAAAAAGUCCAACCCCUUGUGAAUGAGCUAAGGGCUGAUACAUCUCAAACGUAUCUAUAAUUUUUGAUGGUUUCACGUUGUUAUCUUGCCUUCUUUGUAUUUUUUAUGUACCUUUUUAUAUCUUUUUGGGACUAACUUAUUAAUUCAGUGCCAAGUGCCAGUUCCUGUUUUUUCCGUGUUUUUCACUCUUUUCAGAUCUGAUUAUGGAACGGAGUCCAAACGGAAGAAAAACCCCGAAAUGAUUUUUUUCCCGAACGGAAGAAGUCCAGGUGGCUUUUGGGCCAAGCCAGGUGGGCUCCAGGGAGCCCACAAACCCCCACUCUGCCACCAGGGGGGAGGCGGCGGUGGGCAGGCUUGUGGCCUCCCUGGCCGCCCCCUGAGCUAGGUGUUUGGCCUAUAAAUUCCCAAAUAUUCCGCAAAAAAUUAGGGGAGCUUCAAAAAUACUUUUUCACCGUCGCAAGCUUCCGUUUCCGCGAGAUCUCAUCUGGAGACCCUUCCUGGCACCCUGCCGGAGGGGACUUUGGAGUUGGAGGGCUUCUUCAUCAUCAUCAUUGCCCCUCCAAUGACUCGUGAGUAGUUCAGUUCAGACCUACGGGUCCGUAGUUAGUAGCUAGAUGGGUUCUUCUCUCUCUUGGAUCUUCAAUACAAAGUUCUCCAUGAUCUUCAUGGAGACCUAUCCGAUGUAAUCUUCUUUCGUGGUGUGUUUGUCGAGAUCCGAUGAAUUGUGGACUUGUGAUCAGAUUAUCUAUGAUUUAUAUUUGAGACUUUGCUGAUUUCUUAUAUGCAUGAUUUGAUAUCCUUGUAAGUCUCUCCGAGUCUUGGGUUUUGUUUGGCCAACUAGAUCUAUGAUUCUUGCAAUGGGAGAAGUGAUUGGUUUUGGGUUCUGCCAUGUGGUGACCUUUCCCAGUGACAGUAGGGGCACCAAGGCACACAUCAAGAAGUUGCCAUCAAGGGUAAAAAGAUGGGGUUUUUAUCAUUGGUUUGAUAUUAUCCCUCUACAUCAUGUCAUCUUUCUUAAGGCGUUACUCUGUUCUUAUGGACUUAAUACACUAGAUGCAUGCUGGAUAGCGGUCGACGAGUGGAGUAAUAGUAGUAGAUGCAGAAAGUAUCGGUCUACUUGUUUCGGACGUGAUCCCUAUAGAAAUAAUCAUUGCAUAGAUAUCGUCACGACUCUGCACAGUUCUAUCAAUUGCUAGACAGUAAUUUGUUCACCCUCCGUCUAUUUGCUUUCAUGAGAGAAGCCACUAGUAAACACUACGGCCCCCGGGUCUAUUCACAUCCAUCGUUUACAACUCCGCUUUUACUUUUCUUUGUUACUUUGUUGCUUUCAAUUCUCACUUGGCAAACAAUCUAUAAGGGAUUGACAACCCCUUCAUAGCGUUGGAUGCAAGCUAUUUGUGUUUGUGCAGGAUCUUGAGAUACUCUUCCGCCGGAUUGAUACCUUGGUUCUCAAACUGAGGGAAAUACUUAUCGUCGUUGUGCUACAUCACCCUUUCCGCUUCGAAGGAACACCAACGCAAGGCUCCAAGGCCACGGGGGAAAUCCUUUGCUACUUGCCUAGGAAGUCCCUUAAGGCGUAGAUGUAGCUGAAGGAUUCCUGGUGCCGUCGACACAACUAUUUCUGGCGCCGUUGCAAUGGAUACACAGCAAACAUCAAGGGCUUCCUUUUAUAAGCAAAGAGGUCACCUACAGUACUUGAUGGUAGGAUCACGAGAUGUUACAGUGAACCUAGAGCGGUGCUUAUCCAUCUACCGCUGUCAGGUGCAUUAAAUGCACGUCUUGUUCUUGUCAGCUAAGUGCUGUUGAAGACAUGUGUCCAGGUGUUUCGACACCUGGACGCCCUGCUGGCGCAUGUGGAAUGCGGGGGAGGUGGCACUGUGGCAAGGGCGGUCGCCCUUAGUGCCUUGCCAGGUCAUCUCGACAAGGGUGCUUGCCGGGGUCUUGGGUCUUCCUCCCGGUGAGGAAGAUUACCGGGGGGGCUUCGGCUGUCUUCCUGGUGAGGGAGGCUUGUCGGGGUCUUGUGCUUGGUGCGCUCAUCGCGUCCAUUAAACAGACAUGGCCUUGGAUGUCUUCCCGGCAAGGCAGGCUUGCCGGGGCCUUGGAUAUCUUGGGGGUGCGUCUUGUCUGGACUUUGCCACACCCUGCCGUCAGGGGCUCUUUGCGCCCGUGCACAAGUCUGGGGCACUAAAUACCCCAGUCUUUAGUGCACCGACAGGAGCUCCCGGGCCAGGGCCACACACAUGUGCGGAGCGUUGUUGGGCCAGCGCCAAAGAGGUGCACGAGCCUCUGUGGCUGGAUCUGUUCGCGGUUGCCUUUCCCCAUGCCGCGCAUCGGAUGCACAAAGUGGGAGAUCAUGCGCGGAGUGGCCUCUCCGCCUCCUGAAACGCCUCUGCCACGUGCGUGGCAUGCGCAGUCAUUGAUGGACAGGUGGCAGACGAGGCCUAAAAGGCGCAGUAGUGGUUGGGCCCACCCGUGCAUGCAUUGGCGCAUCGAGGCGGUUCUCUGUUCGCCCGUGAGCUCGAGCGAUUGGUCCUAGAGGGUGGUGGCUUCUGGAGUGAGGGAGGCUAGCCCCCGCGCCCUGUCCUAUAAAUUGGGAGGGUUUGCGAGGGGUUUUGCUCACUCAACUUCUCCUGGAUCCACCAACUCUUCAGCCUUGGUUCUUCGAAUCUUCGACUGUCUGCUGGUGGCACUUGCCCCUAACCAUGGUUAGGGGACGGGGUCGGCCACCGUCGGCCGUGAGGGCGGCGAGGGGAUCCCGUUCGGAUCAUGCCACAGCUUCUAAGGGUGCCGCGACGGAAGACGGACGGGACGCCCGUGGUGGAGGAAAGGCGAGGGGCCGAGGUCGCCACGGAGGUCAAGGCCGGGGGAGGCGGAGCGCUACUCCAACGUAUCCUCCUUCCCGGGGCUUGCUCCUGUGGCGGCCCUCCAUGUUGAUUUAGGGGCCCCACGUGUGCUUAUCGAUGGCUGCGAAGGGAGCCCGAGCGACGCCAAUUGUCCUGCCUCGAUCGCUAGCGACGAGGAGGACAGUGGCGGCGGCGAGGUUUGUGUUGGGUUAGCGCCAUGGGGCAUCAGACUGGAUGUGGACCCCCGGGCCCCAACUAGACGUAGAACGCCCCAUCAUGGUUGGCUCACGGCUCGCCCCCGCCCGACGGGGGCGGCUUGCCUUAGCUGGCGUUGGUGCCUCGUGUUUGAGGAGGAGGCACCUCCACCAGCUCUGACUUCUCCACGUCCCCUGCUUGGGGCACCUAACCGGAGCGGGUAUUGGUCCCCCGGCUCCGGGAGGAGGCGCGCCCACCGGUUCCGGAUCCUUCGCCCCUUCAUGUGCCCCGCCCUCUGCAUCUCGGCUGGAGGGGGGCCACGCCACGCCCGUGGGGCCGGUCUCGUUCUCGCUGGCUCAGGGCCGACCCUGGGCGGCCAGUUCUGACCGCGUCGUCGGCUCCGCGUUUUUAUCUUUUUGAACUUCACUCCUCCGCGCGGGUCGGUCCUCGUCAAAAGACACGRUCUUUAGGUUAGUACAACCACGCUUUGUAAGUGAAGCCAACUUUAUCCAUUCAUAUGAACAAAAAAGACUGUUUUUCCUUUUUUCGAUUCCGUUCUUUGUAUGAUUCAUUUUUGCAUAAUCUCGGAGCUUGCAGGAGACUACCGGCAAGGCUCCUUGAUGCGUUCGAUGCAACCAUGGAAAUCGCCAACCGCAGCUUGAGACAAAAUCGGGUGCUACGUAGCCGCUUGCUGAGUUGAUCAGGUUCGCAACUGUUUGAAGGCGCUCUGUGGCCAUUCAGGUCGUUUGAACGAGUUCGAAACAAAGACAAGGUUCACCGAACUUUCGGAAGGUCCUAGUACUCGCAAACUCCUCACACAAAGAUUGGAAACUUUUGAAGGGAAAAAGCAAAGGAUCUAUCUACUUCAAAUCUGAAUCUCGAACUUAAAAACUUAUCUGUCCAUGCCGUGAUUGUGAGGCACUUGAAUCUUUUGUCGGAGYCUUUGGAAAGCGGGAAAUCACCGCUCCUUGUGGUCUCUUCUCUGGCAAGGACUUCUCCCCGACGGUCCGUGACUGUCGCUUGGAGAAAGAGCCAGCUAGGGUGUAACCCCUUUGCUUUUCUCUGUUGGAUAGCUCUUGUCGUUGUGAAUUCAACAAGCUUKYKUUUGCUCGAUUCGGAGUUCGUAUGCAAGAGUUAGAGCAGUUUC
rnacentral:lncRNA from 1 species